AAAAAUAAAGUUGCUACAACUCAUAUAUACCCUAGAAUAAGGCUAGGGAGUCUCUACCGGAUAACCGUAAAUUAUCUGACUAUGAGUGGAAAUCAAUAUGUA
rnacentral:ncRNA from 2 species